rnacentral:rRNA from 1 species
GACGAACGCUGGCGGCGUGCCUAAUACAUGCAAGUAGAACGCUGAAGGAAGGAGCUUGCUCUUUCCGGAUGAGUUGCGAACGGGUGAGUAACGCGUAGGUAACCUGCCUGGUAGCGGGGGAUAACUAUUGGAAACGAUAGCUAAUACCGCAUAACAGUAGAUGUUGCAUGAUAUCUACUUAAAAGGUGCAAUUGCACCACUACCAGAUGGACCUGCGUUGUAUUAGCUAGUUGGUGAGGUAACGGCUCACCAAGGCGACGAUACAUAGCCGACCUGAGAGGGUGAUCGGCCACACUGGGACUGAGACACGGCCCAGACUCCUACGGGAGGCAGCAGUAGGGAAUCUUCGGCAAUGGACGGAAGUCUGACCGAGCAACGCCGCGUGAGUGAAGAAGGGUUUCGGAUCGUAAAGCUCUGUUGUAAGAGAAGAACGAGUGUGAGAGUGGAAAGUUCACACUGUGACGGUAUCUUACCAGAAAGGGACGGCUAACUACGUG